UACGGGGGGGGCAAGCGUUGUUCGGAAUUACUGGGCGUAAAGGGCUCGUAGGCGGCCAACUAAGUCGGAUGUGAAAUCCCCAGGCUUAACCUGGGAACUGCAUCCGAUACUGGAUGGCUUGAAUCCGGGAGAGGGAUGCGGAAUUCCAGGUGUAGCGGUGAAAUGCGCAGAUAUCAGGAGGAACACCGGUGGCGAAGGCGGUGGUCUGGGCCGGAACUGACGCUGAGGAGCGAAAGCGUGGGGAGCGAACAGG
rnacentral:rRNA from 1 species